rnacentral:snoRNA from 1 species
CUUCAGUGAAGAUGAGUUGACAAGUCUGAAAGGAAAUAUUCAUGUCCGAGUCCCCUGUAUUGUGUUGUGUUCUACAGCAUGGAUUUGGAAACCUUGGGUCACAAUUUGAGUGACUUUGAGGCAUUUGUCUGAGAAGC